GUGAUCGCUUUAGCACCACUCCUACUAAAAUUGGAACCAUACAGUAAAGAUUAGAAUGGCCCCUAUGCAAAAAUGAGGCACAAAUUCAUGAAGCGUUUUGUAUUUUU